UACGUAGGAGGCAAGCGUUGUCCGGAAUUACUGGGCGUAAAGCGCGUGUAGGUGGUGGGACAAGUCUGCUGUGAAAGCGCCUGGCUUAACCGGGCGAGGUCGGCGGAAACUGUCCGACUAGAGGACGGUAGAGGGGGGUGGAAUUCCCGGUGUAGUGGUGAAAUGCGUAGAGAUCGGGAGGAACACCUGUGGCGAAGGCGGCCCCCUGGACAAAGACUGACGCUCAGGUGCGAAAGCGUGGGGAGCAAACAGG
rnacentral:rRNA from 1 species